UGAGAAGUCGUGAUAAGGAAAAUAGAAAGUUUUCUUCCAAAGCAAAUACCAAAUAAUGUUCAGAAUAUUUCAGAUCUACAAUGAUCUGAACAUAUCCAAUUAGUCAUGAGAUUAGGGUAUUUUAAACAACAGAGGUGAGAGAGACCUGGUCCAAAGUCAUAUAUUCAAACUGAAAAUAAGAAGAAAAUAGCACUCACAAACGAUAAUAGCCAUAGCUAGACCUUUGAACAGUCUUAGAACCUAAUCUUUUCAAUACUCUUUCAUACAGGAAUAGGGUCGAAGAACCAGGAGAGGUAAGA
rnacentral:lncRNA from 1 species